rnacentral:tRNA from 1 species
GGGCACUUCGUUCAGUGGCUAGGACAGCGGUCUCCAAAACCGCAUACGGGAGUUCGACUCUCCCAGUGCCCGCCA